UCAACAACAUGAGUUUUUGAAAUAUUUUAAGUGUGUUUUUGCUGUAAUUCACAGUUCAAACAGUGCAUCUUUAAAUUAAAACUUUAAAUAAUAACAACCAGCGUUAAAAAAUAGAAUGGCGAUAUUAACGCGCACAGAUGUGACGGCAGUAAAGAUGUAUGAAUCUUUUGUGAUCGCAGGUAUAGGAAGUAAUCUAGAAGUAUACACUAGGGAUUCCGGUAAUUUUUUGCAGAAAACAACAGCAUUAAGAGGCCAAAAAAUAUAUGGUAUCGUCCCGUCACAUUUUGAAUCUAAGCUUCUGAUUUUUGGGGGUAAACAAUUCACAAUAUCACGAACAAAGUUGGUUAUAAUUAAUAACGAUGAAAAUUUAGUUAUAGAAGAUGAUAUUGAGUCAAUACUUUGUGAUGACUGGUUACAUUCAGGUGUUUGGUUAUCUAAAAAUAAAGUUGCAUUCCUGACAGCCCAUAAUGUAGUACAAAUUUGGAAUGCAGAAAAUCAAUCAUUAGAGAACCACUACGCAAGUCCAGAUAACUCAAUACUAUACAGUGGGUUACUGCUACCAUUACAAGAUAACCUUUUGGUGUUUAGUGGCACAGUGUUCUCUGAGGUCAUCAUACAUUGGUGUGGAGAUGAUAAGCCACUUCAAUAUUUAAAAGGUCACAAGGGUGUUAUAUUCUCCAUAACUUGUGAUCCAAUAAAAAAAAUUAUAGUUACCACGUCAGAUGAUAGAUCACUCAGAAUUUGGAGUGUAAAAACUACACUAAAUUUGGAAUAUUCUUCCAAAAAUUACUGGGAAAAUGCUGAUAUUGUCUGCAUGCAUGAAAAAUAUGGGCAUUCUGCUAGAGUGAUGCGAAAUUGUAUUACUACAGACUACAUUAUAUCAAUAGGAGAAGAUUCCCGUAUUUGUUUUUGGGAUCUUGAAGGGAAGCUACUAAGGAAACUGGUGUCACAUAAAAAUGCUUGCAUAUGGGCCCUAGACGCAAAUGACAAGUAUUUAGUCACAGGUGGUGGUGACAGUGGUGUCAUUUUACAUCCUUUGUCAUUAUUAACUGAGUAUUGUACUAGUGAGAUUGUCAAAAUAGAAGGUUCUGUAAAAAAAGUUGAAUUUACUGCCAAAGGAAACAUAGUUAUUUUAAAUGGAAAUGAUCUUAUUUACUAUGAUUUAAAAUCCAAAAUGAAUGAUGUACAUAAAUUACAUCAUAAAUCUACUUAUAAAUUACUGACUUUAUCAUCAUGUAAACAAAUUAUAGCAGUUGUUGAUAAGACUGGAAUAUUAGCUAUUUUUAUAGAAAAUUGUAAAGAUGAGGUUGGGAUCAAGAAUAUAAUUAACAAAGAAUUGAAUUUAGGCAAUAUACUAUCCAUGCAUUGGGUUGGCAAUAGACAUUUGGUUGUUUGUUCUGAUAUUGGAGACAUUACAAUUAUAGCUUCAAGGGGAACUGAUAUUGAAGUUUUCGGAAACUAUACUCUUCCGCCUUGCAAGGAAAGAUGGUUAACCUCUAGUUCUUUGAGUGAUAAUAAAGAAAUGCUAGUAGUUAGUGACCGUAAUGGUCGCAUGCACAUAUACUUGCGCGGGAACAAAAAUCCUGUUAAAACAUUCUACAGAGUUCAUGGUAGAUAUGGCGCGACGACAAUACAAAUAGUUAUCAAUCAAAUUAUUACAACUGGUAGAGAUGGUGUCAUUAAAUACUUUUCAAUUAAUAAACAUACUAAUGAUGUCAAACACAUGAAUUCUAAAGAUCUUGACUUCCAAUGGGUAGAAAAGUUUUUGGAUAAAAACGUUAACUAUAUUUGCGGUUUUCGAGAAAGAGUAUUUGUUAUAUAUGAUAUUAAAAACAAUAUGGAAAUACUGGAAGUUAGUUGUGGUGGAGGACAUAGAUCUUGGGAUGCUGCGCAUUAUUAUGAGAAAAUUGGUGGUAACUUUGAAGAAUUUAUUCGAGUUGUAUAUAUAAAAAACUCCGAAAUACAAUUGAAAACUUUUCGACUGAGUACAAUGGUUUCGAAAAAUAUUAUUAAUGGAACCCAUUCAAAAGAAAUAAAUUGUUUGGAAACUUAUACGGUUAAUUCUAAAGGAAAAACGACAUUUUAUAUAUCUGGUGGUGAGGACACUACUUUAAGAAUAUCUCGAUCAACUUUACAUUCAAAAUUCAAAGAUGAAAUUAUUUUUAAACAAUUGUCGAGUAUAAGAACUCUAAAAUUAUUACCUUUAAGAGAUAAUACAAUACUUUUGGUGUCGGCUGGAGGGAGAGCACAGAUCUGCGCUAAAAUUAUCACUUUUAAUGAAGAAAUCAGUACCUCAGAGGAAUUGGUAAAUUAUUUAAUAAAAGGAACAGAUAAAAAAAGAAAACAAAAUCGCAAUUGGAAAGAUUAUUCGGUCGAUUUUGAUGCAGAAACUAGAAUAAUGGACAUCGAAGUUUUAAAAAAUGAAGAUAGUAAUUUUUCAAUUAUUACUGGAUGCUCUGAUGGAGUAUUACGUAUUUUUCUACUUGAAAAUGAAUCAAAUAUUGAGUUUAAAAUGAUGAAAGAGAUUAAAUAUCAUGAAACGUGCAUUUUAAAAACCCAUUUAUUUAAAUUCGUUAGUAAAGAUAUAUUAGCAACAACUACAACGAGAGGAAGCGUUGCGUUUUGGGAUAUGGAAAAAGUCUGUACGGAUCUUAAUCCAAUUUUUGAAAUGAACACCAACAAAUCAGGAGUAAAUAGUAUUGAUAUAAAAGUAAUAAAUGAUAACAACGUUUUGAUAGCUACAGGGGGCGACGACAAUGCAAUUCAUUUAAAUAUAUUAGAAAUUAAAGAUAUUGAUUUGAAAUUAAUGAAAAUCGCUAACAAAUGGUCCAGUGACGCAUACCACUGUUCUCAAAUUACCGGAUUAAAAUUAGUGAAUGAUUUCAUGGUAACAACAAGCAUUGAUCAGAGGAUAACAUUGUUUAGACUGACUAUUCAAAGUAAUAUAAAUUGUAAAUUUAUUUCACAAACAUACAGUGACAUUGCUGAUAUACAAGGAAUAGAUGUAAUAAGUUUUUCUAAAAAUUCAAUUAAGGUAUGUGUGUUUGGAAAGGGUCUGGAAGUUCUAGAUAUUAGCUGUGGCACACAAUUGAAGAGUAAAUAAACAUGGGCACCAUAUUAUGUACAGUACUUGUUUAAAAGAAGAUUUCAUGUGAAACGACAAAUGUCCGUGCAAGUGAGCGCCGUGACGCCGCCCGUGUGGCUGGGCGAGGGCCCGCACUGGUCGCAC